rnacentral:tRNA from 1 species
AAAGAUCUAGUUUAAAUAAAAUAUUAAUUUGUCAAUUUAAAGAUAUAAAUAAAUGAUUUUUA